UGUCGAAACUAAAACAGACAUUUUUGUUGUUUACCGGUAAAUACUUAAUAUGACUUUCAUAUCUCACAUUUCCCUUACACUCAAUCUAAGAUCCUUAACCGCAGAUGUGAAAUAAAAAAACUGACUCAACGAAUUCAUGUCUCAAAUAUCAGGCGCACACUUUAAAAUAAAAGUCACGAAUUAUAAGACUACCGCAAUGCAUUCGAAGCUGUAUACAGUAAAGUGACCAGGAUGACAGAUCAUUUUAAUGUCUUUUGAAAACACACCAAGAAACCACCCAGUGAGGGCACUUAGCCCUCCCUUAGCCGUCCCUUCUGGUUGGUACACUAUAAGGAGUUCAGCUUCCCAGAAGGAGACAUCAUUUCCCACUAAGAGUAUCCCACUGAAUGGAACUCCAAGGAACAACGUCUACUUUUGACAGCCUAUGGUGCUUCUUGUUUAGCUAUUGUGCCAGAGUGGCUGUUUCCUUUUCCGCCUAAAGUUUUUUCCAUGUUCUAUCCAAGGCUAACCACCAAGUCAAAUUGAUGUUAACUAUUUUGAAGUUUCUGAUGGCCCGGU